CACUUAUAUGUACCCUUUCAUUUAUUGGUGGAGGUGUACGCGCAAAUAAAGGAUAUCAAUUGAAUAAGAAUUGUUUUCAUUGCACUCAUUAUUAGAAAGAUGGUUAAGUUAUCUUUGGGAAAACAUUUCUUCCUUCUCAUUUUGGUUUCAGUUGUAGCUAUGAGAAGUCAAGUUACUGAAGGCAAAUGGUGUAGAACAGAAUUUUGGUUGCCAUCUAUUUGCAAUGAAAAGGGCACAUCUGACCAUGAUAAAUGUCUUGAAGAAUGCGAUCAGAAAUAUGGUUUCAUGAGCAUUUUAGGACGUUGCAAUUAUAAUUCCCUUUGUUCGUGUGUGUACAAAUGUGUCAACGAUGAUCAUUAAUUAAUUAUAAUUAAUGGAAUGUAAUAUAUAU